rnacentral:rRNA from 1 species
CCUACGGGUGGCUGCAGUGGGGAAUCUUGGACAAUGGGCGCAAGCCUGAUCCAGCCAUGCCGCGUGAGUGAUGAAGGCCCUAGGGUUGUAAAGCUCUUUCGCCAGGGAAGAUAAUGACGGUACCUGGAUAAGAAGCCCCGGCUAACUCCGUGCCAGCAGCCGCGGUAAUACGGAGGGGGCUAGCGUUGUUCGGAAUUACUGGGCGUAAAGCGCACGUAGGCGGCUAUCCAAGUUGGGGGUGAAAUCCCCGGGCUUAACCCGGGAACUGCCUUCAAAACUGGAUGGCUAGAGUCCGAGAGAGGUGAGUGGAAUUUCCAGUGUAGAGGUGAAAUUCGUAGAUAUUGGAAAGAACACCAGUGGCGAAGGCGGCUCACUGGCUCGGUACUGACGCUGAGGUGCGACAGCGUGGGGAGCAAACAGGAUUAGAUACCCUAGUAGUC